rnacentral:tRNA from 1 species
AACUCUUUCGCCAAGCGGUAAGGCACGAGAGUUUGAUUCUCGCAUUCGUUGGUUCGAAUCCAACAAGGGCUGUUA